GCCCGAGUGGCCGAGCGGUUCUAGGCGCUACAGUUUGGAACCGCGCGACCGCUACGGUCGCAGGUUCGAAUCCUGCCUCGGGCA
rnacentral:tRNA from 1 species